AAGCAGUGGGAGCACAGGUUUACCUGUGUGACUGCGUACCUUUUGUAUAAUGGGUCAGCGACUUAUAUUCUGUAGCAAGGUUAACCGAAUAGGGGAGCCGGAGGGAAACCGAGUCUUAAUUGGGCGUUAAGUUGCAGGGUAUAGACCCGAAACCCGGUGAUCUAGCCAUGGGCAGGUUGAAGGUUGGGUAACACUAACUGGAGGACCGAACCGACUAAUGUUGAAAAAUUAGCGGAUGACCUGUGGCUGGGGGUGAAAGGCCAAUCAAACCGGGAGAUAGCUGGUUCUCCCCGAAAGCUAUUUAGGUAGCGCCUCGUGAACUCAUCUCCGGGGGUAGAGCACUGUUUCGGCUAGGGGGCCAUCCCGGCUUACCAACCCGAUGCAAACUGCGAAUACCGGAGAAUGUUAUCACGGGAGACACACGGCGGGUGCUAACGUCCGUCGUGAAGAGGGAAACAACCCAGACCGCCAGCUAAGGUCCCAAAGUCAUGGUUAAGUGGGAAACGAUGUGGGAAGGCCCAGACAGCCAGGAUGUUGGCUUAGAAGCAGCCAUCAUUUAAAGAAAGCGUAAUAGCUCACUGGUCGAGUCGGCCUGCGCGGAAGAUGUAACGGGGCUAAACCAUGCACCGAAGCUGCGGCAGCGACGCUGAUGCGUUGUUGGGUAGGGGAGCGUUCUGUAAGCCUGCGAAGGUGGCCUGUGAGGGUUGCUGGAGGUAUCAGAAGUGCGAAUGCUGACAUAAGUAACGAUAAAGCGGGUGAAAAGCCCGCUCGCCGGAAGACCAAGGGUUCCUGUCCAACGUU
rnacentral:rRNA from 1 species